GACGAACGCUGGCGGCGUGCCUAAUACAUGCAAGUAGAACGCAGUUGCGAACGGGUGAGUAACGCGUAGGUAACUGCCUCAUAGCGGGGGAUAACUAUUGGAAACGAUAGCUAAUACCGCAUAGUGUGAGAUGGACCUGCGUUGUAUUAGGUAGUUGGUGAGGUAAAGGCUCACCAAGGCGACGAUACAUAGCCGAGCUGAGAGGGUGGAGGGGGACAACGGGAACUAGACAAGGGCCAGACUCCUCAGGGUGGCAGCAGUGGGGGAACUUGGGCAAUGGACGGAAGGCUGGACGAGCAAAGGCGGGUUCGUGGAGAAGGGUUUGGGGUCGUAAAGCUUUGUUGUUUGAGAAGCGGUAACUAACCAGAAAGGGACGGCUAACUACGUGCCAGCAGCCGCGGUAAUAC
rnacentral:rRNA from 1 species